CGAGUUUCCCUCUCAAUUUUUUUUACAUCUUUUCAUUUCCCUCAAAACAGACAAAAGUGAAAAACCCAACAUUUCCCUCAAUUUCUGUUCUUCUUCUUCAGCAGUACCUUUAUCUCACUCUUAUUCAGCAAUAGGGUUUAUCUCAAGUACUCGAUCUCAAGCAUUCAUCUCAAUUUCUAUUCUUCUUCUUAACUUGUUGAGGGUCGUGGAACUAUUGCUACUGGCCGUGUUGAAUAGGGAACAAUAAAAGUUGGAGAAGAUGUGGAGAUUUUAGGAUUGAUGCAGGUUGGUCUCUAAAUGUCCAUUGAGCCAUAUAUUUUUUGAACCAAGAAUCAGUGAAGGUGGAUUCAGAUGGAAAGCAAAUGCCUCCUGUGAUGUUUCCCGUUAAGAAGUGGAAUCAAGAUAGCAUCUUCAUUGAUAAACGCGACAUAUUUAGACACUUUGAUCACAAAAAAAUUUCACGAAAAAGAUGUGGUUCUUUAACGGGUAGAGGAUGGAAAUAUGGAUCUGGUUUUGUUGAUGGUAUAUUCCCAGUGCUAAGCCCAAUUGCUCAGCAAAUUCUUACUUUCAUAGAGAAGGAAAAAUAUCUAGAGAGGAUUUGGUCUUCCUUGGAUAGUCUACAUCCCACCAAUCACACCUGGGAUGAUUUGAUUAAUGUAGCAGUUCAACUUUGAAUCAACAAACAAUGGAAUCUGAUCAUACUGAUGUGUGAAUGGAUACUGUGUAGGAGUUCCUUUCUGGCAGAUAUGAUUUGCUACAAUUUGCUUAUUGAAGCUUAUGGGCAGAGUUCACUUGUCAAGAAAGCAGAAUCUACUUAUCUGGCACUUCUUGAUGCUCGAUGUGUCCCAACUGAAGAUACUUCUGCACUUCUUCUGAAAUCUUAUUCCAAAUGUGGGAUGCUAGAGAAGGCUGAAGCUGACUUCUCUGUUAUGCGAAAAAAUGGCCUUCCUCCAAGAUAAAAUGGAGGUUGUCAUAGCUGUUUCUCUUUCGGGAUCAACAGAUGAUUCAUCAGAAGAUCAAGAACUCGAUAUAAAUCACAUAUACUUUGAUGUUGUGGUUGGAGCAAAAAAAGAAUGUGUGUAUGGAUUGGACUCUCAAGCUUCAACCUUGUAUAAAGAUAUGACAUGAAUUUCCCUGUAGUGUCUGAUCAUGUUGCCGAAGAGCACAUCAAAAUACUAGAGAAAGAGGUGUCGUUUAUGAGAGAAAAUCAAGAGAGAGUUCUUCAAGAGCGUUUAGAGUUGGAGGUGCAACAACGAGUAGAGCAAGAGGUUUUCCGUUUGAGGCAACAAAGUGAUGAUCGAUUCAAAUCUAUGGAGGAGCAAUGGUCUCGCAUGAUGAGCGAUAUGACAUUAUCUUCUCGCUCAUUUAGUAAUUCUACUCUCCCUAAUAGGGACUCAUCUAAUGCUUAAGUGUUUAAUAUUUUGAGACUUUAGUUACUUGAAGUGUUGACUUGAACAUUGUCAUACUUUUUUGGAUAGUUGUAUGCUUUAAAUUUUAAACAUUGGUAGACUUUUGCUUAUUGAAGCUGUGAUUUUGCAUGUUUUAAUCAA